GGUGAAGUGGCUGAGUUAUAGGCAAUAAAUUGUAAAUUUAUGAACGAAAUUUUUUCCUUCACCA
rnacentral:tRNA from 1 species